rnacentral:tRNA from 1 species
GGGAAGGUAGCUCAGUGGUAGAGCACUUGCCUUGCAUGCAUGAGGCCCUGGGUUUGAUUCCCCAGCACCA